GAUCCGCAAGGUGUUGGACCGGGGAAUUCAGCCCGCGACCUUCUGGUUGCGGGUGCACUUUCUCCGGGACGAGAGCCACGACCGGGUCCGCGGCUGCUCGCAGUGCCAUCAGAGGCGAGAAGGUUUCCCCCGUGCUCUGCACGCGGGGAGCAUACAGCUCGUCGGCCUGCGAGUCUAUAUGUCGUGGACCCGAGGACGCUUGCCGCGCGCCUCCGGCUCCGGGCCGUCCGUGUGCGUUCGACCUCGGCGUCUCUGCGUGUUCGUAGAGUGCCGUAACUGCGUGCGCGGACUAUGGCUCGGGUGCCCGGUUGUGUGCCUAGGGUCAGUGGCGAAUCAGUCGGUACUCCACCCGACCCGUCUUGAAACACGGACCAAGGAGUCUAACAUGUGCGCGAGUCAUAGGGACCACCGAAUCCCGAAGGCGCAAUGAAAGUGAAGGCCGCCUACGGCUGGCCGAGGCAGGAUCCCGUCGAGAGGCGGGCGCACUGCCGGCCCGUCUCGAUAGCGGUGUAGGUGCUUGCACCCAACAUUCGUCUACGAGGCGGAGCAAGAGCGUACACGUUGGUACCCGAAAGAUGGUGAACUAUGCCUGAGCAGGACGAAGUCAGAGGAAACUCUGAUGGAGGUCCGCAGCGAUUCUGACGUGCAAAUCGAUCGUCAAACUUGGGUAUAGGGGCGAAAGACUA
rnacentral:rRNA from 2 species